rnacentral:rRNA from 1 species
UCGACGAGAGGAAGGAAGCUUGCUUUUCUGAAUCUAGUGGCGAACGGGUGAGUAACACGUAGGUAACCUGCCCAUGUGCCCGGGAUAACUUCUGGAAACGGAUGCUAAAACCGGAUAGGUAGCAGACAAGCAUUUGACUGCUAUUAAAGUGGCCUUGGCCAUGAACAUGGAUGGACCUGCGGUGCAUUAGCUGGUUGGUGAGGUAACGGCCCACCAAGGCGACGAUGCAUAGCCGGCCUGAGAGGGCGGACGGCCACAUUGGGACUGAGACACGGCCCAAACUCCUACGGGAGGCAGCAGUAGGGAAUUUUCGUCAAUGGGGGGAACCCUGAACGAGCAAUGCCGCGUGAGUGAGGAAGGUCUUCGGAUCGUAAAGCUCUGUUGUAAGAGAAAAACGGCACUCAUAGGGAAUGAUGAGUGAGUGAUGGUAUCUUACCAGAAAGUCACGGCUAACUACGUGCCAGCAGCCGCGGUAAUACGUAGGUGGCGAGCGUUAUCCGGAAUGAUUGGGCGUAAAGGGUGCGUAGGUGGCAGAUCAAGUCUGGAGUAAAAGGUAUGGGCUCAACCCGUACUGGCUCUGGAAACUGAUCAGCUAGAGAACAGAAGAGGACGGCGGAACUCCAUGUGUAGCGGUAAAAUGCGUAGAUAUAUGGAAGAACACCGGUGGCGAAGGCGGCCGUCUGGUCUGGAUUCUGACACUGA